CAGGUAUCUGUGUGUGACGCGCAUUUUUUUGCGGCUUGGUUUAUGAAAAAAAUUUAUUUCUAUUUGUGGAAAAAAAGAGUAUAAAAUAUAUAUUUUCAAUAAAAAUCACAUUACAAACAAUAUAUAAAAUCCUAACAGGAUAUAUUGUGAAAUAUAUUGUAUUCUGGAUGUUCAAAGGGGACAAACACUAUAAGCUAUAAAUCUUCUAACCAGAACGUGCUUUUUGUAUUACAAAUUUAUAUUUUAUAGAAAUAUUGCAAUUUAUCCUCAUUUAAAACUCGCCUAUAUUUUGUGCGUCGUGAAAGAAAAGUUAUUCUGAUUUUCUGCUUUUGAGGAGGUUCGAAAGGUAUUCGCAAGCGAUGUAAUACAAACUCGGAAAAGGCUCUAAACAUACCACUAC